ensembl:snoRNA
AAAUGUACCACAUUUUCCUUAUCCGUUCUUUGGUUGAAGGGCAUUUAGCUGCAGAAAUUUAGAAAAGGCACACAAUAGUGAUGCCAUGUUACAAGCCUUAAGGGCAGCUGAAGUCCUUAAGGUCCCUGAAAAUGGCUACAGAA